GACGAACGCUGGCGGCGUGCCUAACACAUGCAAGUCGAGCGGAGUCGAUUGACGGAAGCCUUCGGGCGGAAGAUGGUUGACUUAGCGGCGGAUGGGUGAGUAACGCGUGGGCAACCUGCCUCGAAGACCGGGAUAACAGCCCGAAAGGGCUGCUAAUACCGGAUGUGGUCAAGGAUCCGCAUGGAUUUUUGAUUGAAGGGGGAAACCCGUUUCGAGAUGGGCCCGCGUCCUAUCAGCUAGUUGGUGAGGUAAAAGCUCACCAAGGCGACGACGGGUAGCCGGCCUGAGAGGGUGACCGGCCACACUGGAACUGAGACACGGUCCAGACUCCUACGGGGGGCAGCAGUGGGGAAUCUUCCACAAUGGGCGAAAGCCUGAUGGAGCGACGCCGCGUGAGCGAAGAAGGCCUCGGGUUGUAAGCUCUGUCUGGAGGGACGAAGGAAGUGACGGUACCUCCGGAGGAAGCCACGGCUAACUACGUG
rnacentral:rRNA from 1 species